GCGAUCGCUUAGUCGGUAGAGCAUGAGACUCUUAAACUCAGUCGUGGGUUUGAGCCCCCUGUUGGGCA